rnacentral:tRNA from 1 species
UGUGUUUUAGUAUAUGAUGUACGGUGGUUUUUGAUACCUCAAGGGAUAGUUUAAUUCUAUCAAAUAUAG